ensembl:lncRNA
CGUUGCCUGUGGAGAAAGAGAAAGCGAGUGAGCACCCAAGGAACGAACUGUGUGAACCAGUACUUACUGUGAGCUGUAAUCAGCGAAGAGG